rnacentral:rRNA from 1 species
UUGAACGCUGGCGGCAGGCCUAACACAUGCAAGUCGAGCGGUAGCACAGAGAGCUUGCUCUCGGGUGACGAGCGGCGGACGGGUGAGUAAUGUCUGGGAAACUGCCUGAUGGAGGGGGAUAACUACUGGAAACGGUAGCUAAUACCGCAUAACGUCGCAAGACCAAAGUGGGGGACCUUCGGGCCUCAUGCCAUCAGAUGUGCCCAGAUGGGAUUAGCUAGUAGGUGGGGUAACGGCUCACCUAGGCGACGAUCCCUAGCUGGUCUGAGAGGAUGACCAGCCACACUGGAACUGAGACACGGUCCAGACUCCUACGGGAGGCAGCAGUGGGGAAUAUUGCACAAUGGGCGCAAGCCUGAUGCAGCCAUGCCGCGUGUGUGAAGAAGGCCUUCGGGUUGUAAAGCACUUUCAGCGGGGAGGAAGGCGAUAAGGUUAAUAACCUUGUCGAUUGACGUUACCCGCAGAAGAAGCACCGGCUAACUCCGUGCCAGCAGCCGCGGUAAUACGGAGGGUGCAAGCGUUAAUCGGAAUUACUGGGCGUAAAGCGCACGCAGGCGGUCUGUCAAGUCGGAUGUGAAAUCCCCGGGCUCAACCUGGGAACUGCAUUCGAAACUGGCAGGCUAGAGUCUUGUAGAGGGGGGUAGAAUUCCAGGUGUAGCGGUGAAAUGCGUAGAGAUCUGGAGGAAUACCGGUGGCGAAGGCGGCCCCCUGGACAAAGACUGACGCUCAGGUGCGAAAGCGUGGGGAGCAAACAGGAUUAGAUACCCUGGUAGUCCACGCCGUAAACGAUGUCGAUUUGGAGGUUGUGCCCUUGAGGCGUGGCUUCCGGAGCUAACGCGUUAAAUCGACCGCCUGGGGAGUACGGCCGCAAGGUUAAAACUCAAAUGAAUUGACGGGGGCCCGCACAAGCGGUGGAGCAUGUGGUUUAAUUCGAUGCAACGCGAAGAACCUUACCUGGUCUUGACAUCCACAGAACUUUCCAGAGAUGGAUUGGUGCCUUCGGGAACUGUUAGACAGGUGCUGCAUGGCUGUCGUCAGCUCGUGUUGUGAAAUGUUGGGUUAAGUCCCGCAACGAGCGCAACCCUUAUCCUUUGUUGCCAGCGGUUAGGCCGGGAACUCAAAGGAGACUGCCAGUGAUAAACUGGAGGAAGGUGGGGAUGACGUCAAGUCAUCAUGGCCCUUACGACCAGGGCUACACACGUGCUACAAUGGCAUAUACAAAGAGAAGCGACCUCGCGAGAGCAAGCGGACCUCAUAAAGUAUGUCGUAGUCCGGAUUGGAGUCUGCAACUCGACUCCAUGAAGUCGGAAUCGCUAGUAAUCGUAGAUCAGAAUGCUACGGUGAAUACGUUCCCGGGCCUUGUACACACCGCCCGUCACACCAUGGGAGUGGGUUGCAAAAGAAGUAGGUAGCUUAACCUUCGGGAGGGCGCUUACCACUUUGUGAUUCAUGACUGGGGUG